rnacentral:rRNA from 1 species
AUAUUACUCAGCGGAGGAAAAGAAACUAACAAAGAUUGCCCCAGUAACGGCGAGUGAAGAGGCAAGAGCUCAAAGUUAAAAUCGUGCAUCUCUGGUGUACGAAUUGUAACCUCAAGGGGGGAACAUAAGCUAAACUGAUGUAUAAGUUCUCUGGAAUGGAGGCCAUAGAGGGUGAAAGUCCCGUGUAUGGCAUCGGUUUAGUGAAAGAAAACUUCCUCAGAGUCGGGUUGUUUGGUAAUGCAGCCCUAAAUGGGAGAUAAACAUCUUCUAAAGCUAAAUAUGAAUGGGAGACCGAUAGCGCACAAGUA